CUAUGACAAAAAAUUGUCAUGGCGGAAGGAG
rnacentral:ncRNA from 1 species